UUAAAUAUAGAAGAGCUCGAAAUUUAAAUGUACGGGUAGAAAUAAUAAGAAAUGGACAACUGCCUAACCAUCUGGGUGAAAUGUUAGUAUCACUACUUAUUAUUUUAUAAAUUGCAUAAAUAUAGAUACAGUAUGUGUCAUCAAGUGAAUUUAGGAUUGUGUCUUAAUUACUUUGCAAUGUUACACUUACUUAUUAUUAUUUUCAUUAAAAAAAAAUGAUGGGUGUUAUAAUAGUUAUUAUAAUAUAGCAUUUGUAAAUUCUGAACUCUGAUUGGCUAAGAGCCGUGUUGAUAUAACUCAGUAGACAGAUUUAGAUCGAGGACGCGGACGUCAAAGACGACGUGAAAAUGGCGUCAAAAUGGCGUGGCAUAUCCAUACAUGGGCACAACACGCUAUUUUAACGUCAUCUUUGACGUCCGCGUUCUCGAUCUAAAUCUGUCUAAUGUCAACACGGAAACGUCGGAAAAUUUCUUUCUUUGUAUUUCUUUGUGCUAUAUUAUAAAACACAUUUUUUCGGUAUUGAUAUACAGUUAUAUCAACAGGAAAAUGCUUUAUUUGUGUUAAAUAACAUCCCUAUAAUUAUUGUUAAUUGAAACCACUAUAAUUUAUAUCAUUACCAAACAUUACCAUGCGUUCUUAUAUCAUUUCACUAUGACAACACCAUCAUCAUCUAACCAAUUUUCCUGAAAAUCCUAUUAGCCUGCCAUGCUUAAUGCCAAUGUUGCUUCCCACCAUUAAAUUUCUUUUCCAGCUUCAAAUGAUUUACUUAUAGUCUUAGUCCUGCAUCCCACUUGAAAUUUUGCUACUUCCUAUACAGACCACUGCUCAAAUAUUGAGCAGUGGUCUGUAUAGGAAGUAGCAAAAUUUCAAGUGGGCAAUGUAUUUAAAUGAGCAAAAAAUAGAUGCACACUGCGUACAUGUGGGAUGGAGAAGCAAAUUGCAAUAUUGCAAGUUGGAAGUGAAAUUUUGUAACUAUAACGGUUUUUAAUGAUCACAAAAUUGACCAAGUACUGAGUUAAUUAGGUUUAGUUUUGGAUGUGGAUCAGACGAUUAAAGUUUGUCUGGAGUGGACUGAUACAUAAACAUGAGACAAACCCACACCUGUCAAGGUUACAAGUUAAAAAUGAGUGAGAACAGUGCUGUGCAGUUUUUAGUACAAAGUUGCUUUACACUAUUGUUAAGCCGGUUUUCCACUUCAAGCGUACCGUACCGAAACAUAUCAAAGACGUUUUUAAAUUUCAAAAUUUCGUGAAUGUUGAUUGGUUAGUAUUUCCGUAGUACGCCAAAAAGUUGACUUGCGACAAACUUUUCAUUUUGAUACGCGAAUACACCCGGAAGUACGUGGAUUUAUAAACCUCUUUUCAAUCUGCGCAUGCUCUCUAGUACGUUUCGGUAUGAUACGGGCGAAGUGGAAAACCUGCUUAAUGGACUACAAGAUAUUACGUCAUUACGUCAGUCAACAAUAGAUAAACAAUCCUGGUAAACAACAUUAAUUCUUAUUAUAAACUCCCUGAUUUUUAGUAAAAUGUAUUACUGCUCUGCUGUCUGGUCUAAUACAUCCCAAAGAUAUAUUGAGAAACUUCAAGCGGUCCAGAACUUUGCUCCACAUAUUGUUACCGGAACAAGAAAAUAUGAUCACGUGACUUCUGUUCUGCAACAACUGGGCUGGCUUCCAGUCAAAUAUAUGUUAAAAUUAAGAGAAGCCAUUUUUGCUUUCAAAUGCUUGAUGGGGUUGGCACCAACGUAUUUGUGUGAGAAGUUUCAUGUCUGGUCAGAUGUUCAUGACGUUAAUACAAGGCAAAAGAACAUUUUGGAUAUUCCAAUGUACAGAUCAGCUGUGGGUCAACGAACAUUUCAUUAUAGGGCUGUGUCC